AGCCUGAUCAGCAUGCCGCGUGCAGGAGAAGGCCUUCGGGUUGUAAACUGCUUUUGUCAGGGAAGAAAUCCUCUGGGCUAAUACCUCGGGGGGAUGACGGUACCUGAAGAAUAAGCACCGGCUAACUACGUGCCAGCAGCCGCGGUAAUACGUAGGGUGCGAGCGUUAAUCGGAAUUACUGGGCGUAAAGCGUGCGCAGGCGGUUGUGCAAGACAGAUGUGAAAUCCCCGGGCUUAACCUGGGAACUGCAUUUGUGACUGCACGGCUAGAGUGCGGCAGAGGGGGAUGGAAUUCCGCGUGUAGCAGUGAAAUGCGUAGAUAUGCGGAGGAACACCGAUGGCGAAGGCAAUCCCCUGGGCCUGCACUGACGCUCAUGCACGAAAGCGUGGGGAGCAAACAGGAUUAGAUACCCUGGUAGUCCACGCCCUAAACGAUGUCAACUGGUUGUUGGACGGCUUGCUGUUCAGUAACGAAGCUAACGCGUGAAGUUGACCGCCUGGGGAGUACGGCCGCAAGGUUGAAACUCAAAG
rnacentral:rRNA from 1 species